GGUAGUGAAGCACCACAGGAAAUAAUCUCCAGGGAUGGAGUGAACAAAUCUAAUCUAAACUGUCUGAAGGCACCGUUUCAUUGCAGUAUCAACCCUUCCUUUGCCAAAAUCUUCAGAACAGUUGGCUAUAUACCAUAACGCACUGAGGGUUUGGAGGAGGGGAGAGUAAUUAAGGAAGAGCUAGGUAAUUAAGGAAGAGCUGUGCCACAAGACAAUGACACAUAAACGGAUGGUGAGUCGAUCUGCAACGUGAACUAAUUCAGCAGCAAAUGAUUAUGCCAGAAGGGACUGUGAAAAUGCAAACCUCCAUGGGAACUGGCAGAAAUUCUGUGGAAAGCUUUGGACUUCUGAAGGUCAAAUAUUGAAGUGCUGAACAUUCAGGGUUCCAGAAUCAUCUCAGACUAUUUGGGUAAGUAAAGUUGCUCCGUAGGAUGAGGAAUCCAAAGUGCAGGGCCGGGGUGCCAGUCAUUGAAAAGGACAGAAAGCAGUGGCACUGGCU
rnacentral:lncRNA from 10 species